UACGAAGGGGGCGAGCGUUGUUCGGAUUUACUGGGCGUAAAGGGUGCGCAGGCGGCCGUGUGUGUGAGGCGUGAAAGCCCGGGGCUUAACCCCGGAAUUGCACCUCAAACUACACGGCUAGAGCAUUGGAGAGGGUAGCGGAAUUCACGGUGUAGCAGUGAAAUGCGUAGAUAUCGUGAGGAACACCAGAGGCGAAGGCGGCUACCUGGACAAUUGCUGACGCUCAGGCACGAAAGCGUGGGGAGCAAAAGGG
rnacentral:rRNA from 1 species